rnacentral:rRNA from 1 species
ACUGAACGCUGGCGGCAGGCUUAACACAUGCAAGUCGAGCGGUAACAGGAGAAGCUUGCUUCUCGCUGACGAGCGGCGGACGGGUGAGUAAUACUUAGGAAUCUACCUAGUAGUGGGGGAUAGCUCGGGGAAACUCGAAUUAAUACCGCAUACGACCUACGGGAGAAAGGGGGCAACUUGUUGCUCUCGCUAUUAGAUGAGCCUAAGUCGGAUUAGUUAGAUGGUGGGGUAAAGGCCUACCAUGGCGACGAUCUGUAGCUGGUCUGAGAGGAUGAUCAGCCACACCGGGACAGAGACACGGCCCGGACUCCUACGGGAGGCAGCAGUGGGGAAUAUUGGACAAUGGGGGCAACCCUGAUCCAGCCAUGCCGCGUGUGUGAAGAAGGCCUUUUGGUUGUAAAGCACUUUAAGCAGUGAAGAAGACUCUAGGGUUAAUACCCUUAGACGAUGACAUUAGCUGCAGAAUAAGCACCGGCUAACUCUGUGCCAGCCGCCGCAGUAA